UGGAUAUACCGGGGAAUGAACCCGGGUCCUUUCACAUGCAAAGAGGACGCUUUACCACUGAGCUACAUAAUGGCC